AAAGAGACCCAGGUGGGACCUGGGGAACACCAGCGCUUAAAAGGGGAUGAAGGGAAGUUGGCAGCAAAGGGGGCUGAGAAGGAGUUAGGAGGAGAGUGAGGGUAGAGGGGUGGGUAGAGAAGGAAUGCUAGGACCCUAUUUCACAAACGACCCUGGGUCAGGCAGGGGGUACAAGGAUGCACCCGAGUGAGUCCCUUUCCUCCAAGGGCAUGGAAGACAGGCCACCACAGUACCACACGGUAAAUGCAACUCAGAGCAAGAUGUAAGGUGAGUGGAAACCCAGGAAAGAUGCUCAGCCCAAAGCGGGCAGUGUGCCCGGUGCUCUGAGCAAGGGGAUUGACCCAGAGGUCUUGACUUCUGGUGUAAUGGACCCCUCAGAACCAGACAAAAGCUAAGGACGCUCUCCUCAGAGCAAUGCAUGCAUUCGGAAGUACGAAGAGUCAGGACUCCAACGUAUCUUUUUGGGGAACACAGUUCACCCCAUACAUGCUGUGAGCGAAUUUGCUUUUCCCUAACAACACCCACCCUGAACACCCUCUGGACUGUGGCGUCCUCCCCAGAGCCCCCGGCAACUGCAGACCUGGCCAAGCAGGGAACUGUGGGUGCUUUCACAGCCCAGGACUGGGCAUGACUCCCCUCCAGGACGAUGUUGUGAGUAAGAAUGUGCUGGUAAUGCACAGCAUGCAGCUUAGAGUGCUGGGCUUGCUGCUCACCAGCCUGUAAUUUCCCCCAACCUCAGCAAGGAUGUCUUGGUGGCAGGGGCUGCUGAAUUCCAUCCCAGGAACGUGCGGAAGGAGGUGGCACUGGUGACUCUGCUUUUGAGAGAAGAAGCACGAUAAGAAUAGCAAGAAUAACAUAGGCUGACUUCAGACAAACAUGUCGGGGCUUGAAGCACCGAGACUCCAGUGAGGGGGCCUCCCACAGAGCUUUUGGAUGUCCCUCUAAGCAAGGUUGUCCACGCAGAAGCAGAGAGGCACUGGCUGGACAGGAGUGUUCUCUCACAGCCUUGAAUUGAUGCUCUGCCCCUGGAUCACAGCACCUGUGUGAGUUAAUAAUGUUUACUAAUCCUGUCGUUAUCUGUGCAUAGCACUGUUCUGGUGUAAAUAUUUUUAAAAGAUUUAAAUCUAUAGAUUACCAGUAUGUGGUGAGUUGAAUAACGGUUCCCAAAGAAAUCAGGCUCUAAUCCCUUAAAACCUGUAAAUGUUACCUUAUCUGGCCCCAAAUGUGAUUAAGCUAAGGAUUUUGAGAUGGGGAGAUUAUUCUGGAUUAUCUGGGUGGGCCCUAAAUGCCACCACAAGGACUCCUAUGAGAGGGAGGCAGCGGGGGACAUUACCGCAGAAGAGGAGAAGGCCACGCGGCCACAGAGGCGGAGACUGGCGUGAUGCAGCCAGGGAGCUAGAAGCCGACAGACGCCGGACGAGGCAGGAAGGGACUCGCCCCUGGAGCCUCACCCAGCGAAAACUGAUUUCAGACUUGUGGCCUCCAGAGUGAGAGAGAAUACAUUUCUGCUGUUUGAAGGCACCACACCUGCGGUGGCUUGUUACAGCAGCCACAGGAAACUAAAGUACAGUGACACACGGUUGUCAUUAAACUGUAAUUAGGAUAAUAUUGUCUUACCGAAAAUGCAAAAUUAAUGUGAUUUUGCUGCAAGGUUCUGACAUUUUGCAUCACUUGAAACUACAUCAAUCUUUUUGGUCUUUUGGGCAGAGAAAUAAAAUAUUUCAUCACUUGCAUGGGUACGCGUCAGAAGUACUAACUUAAUAAAAAGAACGUGUAGAAUAUGCCAGUUUUAGAAAUCCUAUUUUGAUAUUUCUUGAUUUUUAAAAAAACAGACUGGGAGCCUCAGAGAAAGGAGGUGGCCUUGGCCUCUGAGAGGCCCUCGCUGGUCAGUACCAUGUGCUCCCACCCCCUGGGGAUCCAGUUGACACUGGUGCACUGAUGACCGUCACUGGGUGUCCUGUGCACCAAGAGGGAUGAUCCCACAGGGCCUGGCCGGGUUCCCGGCUCACACGCCUGAGUCUCCAGCUGCCGAGAUUCCAUCUGUUGCCUGCGCGGCCAGGGCCCUGCAGAGCCACCAGGGGAUAUCCUGCACACGCAAGAGUGGGAACCUCCGCCUCGGGACUGGGAGGGAGAGGUGCCUAAACUUUGAGGACUCCAGCUGAUUCACACGCCCAGAGAGGCUUCCCGGCGAAUGACAGCCUGUGUAUCAGGCCAGGAGAGGGGCCCGGGCUGGGCUGGUGAGACUCGGCACCGCUCUUUCAGUUCACUGGAUCCCUUUUCUCAGCCAAGCGACCCUGGCAGGUUUCCCAAGGGAUGAAAACCCUGCGUGGGGGAGUGAGGUAAGUACAUCGGGGUCCACACUUCCGAGUUCGUGCCUCUCCAGGACCUCGAUGCUUCUGGAGCCAGAGCUGCAGUCUGAACUGGGGGAAUGAGGGAAGAUCAGAACUUCCAGAGACGUGAGGCCGAGGGUCAGUUUCCAGUAGAACAAAGCUGUUGAGGGAAAACGAAUAGGAAUUUAGAAACCGGGAAGGUGAGUCAAGGCUGGUGGUUCGGAAUGGAGACUGUGAAAAUGCCAGGCUGUCCAGAGGCCUGUUUGUAAGCCGUGCUCGCUGCGUGGCGCAGGAGCAGCUCUAGGGCAUUAAAAAGAAGGGUUCAGAAUGCCUCACUCAGCCGCCUAGUCCUCCAGGCUUGGUGGGGUGAGGUGGAGGAAUCUUCAUUUCUAACCAGCACUUCACAUGGUUCUAGUGUAUAUGCCUUAUGGGAGGACGUGUGCAUAUCUAUGUCUGUAUGUGCAUGUGUGUGUUUCAACACGGAUGUGUACCUAUAUUUGUGUGUGUUUGUGUUAUCAGUGUGCAUAUGUAAACGUGUAUGUGUGUACUUGUGUGCAUGUAUCUAUGUGUCUUUAUACGUGUACAUGGGUUUGUGUUUGUGUGUCUGCGUGUGCACAUCUUUGUGUGGUGUGUUUUCCUAGGCGGACUCCAGGGGAGCUGGUGACUGGCCGGAAGGCGGAGAGAGGGAAGGGGGUGGUCAAGGAUAGCUGAUGAGCCUUGCCUGGGGACUCGGUGACUACGAUUCCAGGAGAGUGACUGGCCCACGUUGUAAAUGAUACUGCACAGCUGAGCACAUGUGCACACUAGUAGUUACACCAUUCCAAGUUACCAGGAGGGCAGUUUUGGUCCUAAGUCGAAACCCUGCCACAGAAAGAACCACCGUGGCCCGGCAAAGGAGCCCGAGGGGAGGCCCCCUCCAGUCGAAGCCUCUGGAGUUCUCUUCGUCCUCAGCAUCCUGCUCCUGGCUGGUCACACUGAGUGCAGAGCAGACAGCCUCCUGGGCUACGUUUCUUCCCAUCCAGACCCCAUUACCUGCGGAGCCCCUCACCGUACUUCUGAGGCUCUGGGCUGCUCUUGCUAACCCAUCUUAGCGAGUGUGGGGAAGAGUGUCUCUCCCACAGGCCCUGCUGUGGCUUCCGGUGACCCAUGGGGGCUCCUCUCUGCUUUGUCUCUGCACCACAUCCAGCCACAGGAGGGCUGUGUGGACCACCCUGACUUAUGGCAGGAAGAGAACAACUUUCCAGUCCAGUGACAACUAGAAAGGUCUCCCCAUUGUGCGGGGAGCCAUCAACUCCACGUUAAUUCCCCUCCCCUCCCCCCACCCACCAGUGGCCCAGGCUUAACCAUUUCAUAACCAGUGUAUACACCUGGUGACGCUGCUCUGUGGACCUUUGCCGUGGCUGCUUCCCCUCUGUUGGAGUAGAACAAGAGAGGGGCGGCAAAACCAGCCAGUGGUGGGGGCUUUAGCAGCAGCUGCUGCAAGGAUGCCUAGAGCCAACAGGGCCUCACAGGCCAGGGGUGGGCAGGGACAGUGCAAAGGAGAGCAUAAGCCGCAGCAGCACAGCGGGGAGUCCGUGAGGGGCUUGCCAUGCAAAUAAGAGAAACCCAGUUCAAGCAGCCGCUGCAUGCCCCAAGACACAGGCUGGUUGCUUGUCUCUUCUGUCCCCGCCCCCGUCCCUGUCUGUCCUCCCAGCUGCUCCCCUGGGCUCUCAAGACGGGCUCCGUAGGGCCAGGCCUCAGACUCCGGCAAUGACACAACUUCUGUAGCUUUUGUCUCCUUUUAAAGAUGAAAAAAAUCCUUCUCCGGAGCCUCACAUUUCAUUGGCCAGAACUGCUUCACCUGCCCAUGCCUGAUCAGUCAUUUGUCAGGGAAAAUGAGCCAGCACGAUGGCUGUGGACCGAUUAGAAUUCACGCCCGUGGGCUUGGCGGUCCCGGUCUUCCCUGAGGAGCAGGGUGAACCAAGUUGGGGGCCAGUUCGUAGGAAGACAUGGGGGUGAGGGCGUUGGUCAGGCCACAGUGUCUGCCAGAGAGAGAACGAGGGGGCUAGGUGUUCAGGAACCACAUCGGAGUCCAAAAAAGGGAGGGCUUGAAGCUGAGCCAGAAUCCCUUGUUCCCUCUGCAUUGCUUUGACCCCAGCCGACUGUGGCCUAAGGUGACAUGGGCUGUUGGUAGUCCUGUCCUGGAUUAUUCCAAGGACAGUGGCCCACUUACGCUCUCGCUCACUGCCACCCUGGAAGUGGUUCUGAGUGAGCUUUGGGGAAGCAUGGCCACCAUAAGGCAGGAGGCCCAAGGCCUGUGGACUCUGACGGAUGGCUGGGGUCUGGGGACAUCGGAGCAUGGUCGUGAGGGUGCUGGGAAGGACGGAAGGGAGGCAGCCAAGGGAGGGGAGGCCCUCAGGGCUGUGGGUUCCAGUGAGUGUGGGGAGCAGAAGCAGGGUUUGAAGACCUGUGAGCAUCUCUGCCACCCAACUCAAAGGGGCCCCAGGGGCCUUUCCAGAGCAGGGAUCGGAGGGAGAGGACCAAGUCUCCUGGCGGGAAGAGAAGAAGGUGAGCACAGUCCGCUGAGUCCUUCUGCAGAUUCGAGGGACCUCAAGUUCUAAUGGGGACCUCCAGAGAUGACUGCUUGCAAAACACCUUGGAGCCGGGUACCUGAGUGUGGUUCACCCCCCGAGAUGUGCUCGUCCUAGACCCCAGAUCCUGUGGAUAUGUUACUUUACAGGGUAAAAAGGACUUUGCAGAUGAGACUAAGUCGGGAUCUUGAGAUGGGGAGGUUAUCCUGGUUCUCCAGGUGGACUCAGUGUAGUACAAGGAUCCUUCUAGGAGGGAGGCAGAAGGUCAUGGAGGAGAGAAGAUGCUACACCACUGGCUUUGAGGAUGGAGGAGGGGCCAUAAGUCAAGGAAUGUAGGCGGUUUCUAGAAGCUGGAAAAGGCUAGGCACAGAUUCUCACCAUAUUAGUUUCCUGCGAUUGCUGUAACACAUGACCUCAAAUUUGGUAGCUUAAAACCACAGAAAUUUAUUCUCUUACAGUUCUGGAGGCCAGAAGCCGGAGAUCAUAGCGUCGAAAUGCAGGCCCCACUGCAGGCUCGGGGGGAGUCCGUGCUCUGCUGCCUCCAGCUUCGGGCGGCUGUCGACUUUCUCUGGUUUGUGGCAGCAUCAUUCCAGUCUCUGGCACACAGUCACACUGCCUUCUCCAUUCUCUGUCUUCUUGUCCGUCUGUCCGUGUGUCUCUCUGAUAAGGAUACACGUGGCUGCAUUUAGGGCCCACCUGGGAAAUCCAAGAGAAGCUCCUCCUCUCAGCAUCCUUAGCUUAAUCCCACGCUUUUCCAUAUAAGGUAAUGUGCACUCUUUUGCCAUAUAAGGUGCUAUUCUCAGGACCCCGGGAUGAGGACGUGGACAUAUCUUUUGGGGGCCACUGUUCAGCCCCCUACACUCACCUAGAGCCUCCAGGAGGACCCCGCCCUGCCGACACCCUUAGUCCUGUUAAGAUCUGACUCCCAGAACUGCAGAAUAAACUCACAUUGCUCAAGGCCGUGAGCGUUGACUGUGUUUCACAUACUGUUGAAUGUCCUGGGGACAUAUUGACGAGGAAGACACGCAAGAUGCCCACCCCACAGAGCAUAAGGUCUAGUGAAACAUACAGGCAUUCUUUCUGCCAACGGUACCCGGAUUUUCCUUUAGGGAAUUUACUCAUCCACCAUUCCCAGCCGUGCAGUAGAAUGAGUAGGAAGUGAGGAGUCUGGAGUAUUUAUUACUGUUAUGUGAGUAAAAUUCAUUAUAGAUAGAUGAUAGAGAGAGAUAGCUAGAUAUCGAUAGCUAGAGAGAUGUAAAUAGAUAGAUAGAGAUAGAUAGACGUUAAUAGAUAGAGAGAGACAGAGACAGAAAGAGACAGAGGUGAUAGAUAGACAAGAACUGGUUGUUAAACAUUCACCAGCACACGGCUGUCUGUAGAGGUGGAGGGAUAUGACUCAAAUCUGAUAUAAACAUCUAUUUUUUACAUCUGUCUGGGCUCCCUGAGUUCCCAGCCAACACCAAAACUGUUUAUUUAAUAAGGGGAAGUUCCAUCCCUCCUUCCACCAUUAGGGACCAGUUAGAUGAGGGGGUCUGUGGGGCCUGGGAGCGUGGCUGUGCUCAUCUGCACCUGGAUCACAGCGUUCAGUGGAACUAAGCCGAGAAACGCAUCGCGGUUCCAUCUCUGCUAAGCUGCUGGCAGAAUGAUGUUGAAAAGAGAAGAUUGAGAGAGCAGGAGUCCUGGGUGCCUGGAAUUACUCUCUGGAAGACGAAUGUGUGAUCUGGGCACAGAGCCGCUGUGACCUUCAGAAUGGCUGUGCCAGCACGUCCAGGGCUGGAGGACCAGGCUGGGGUCUGCACAGACCUCCUGUGAAAGACACUGCAGAAGGCAGCCCGUGGACGGGGUGGACAUGUUUGCGGCAUCCAACAAAGGUACACAGUUGUAUAUUCUUCGUUGUGGGUCCUUCUAGUUGUGGCGUGUGGGAUGCUGCCUCAGCGUGGUUUGAUGAGCAGUGCCAUGUCUGCGCCCAGGAUUUGAACCAACGAAACACUGGGCCGCCUGCAGCGGAGCGCACAAACUUAACCACUCGGCCAUGGGGCCAGACCCCAUUUUAACCAUUUUAAAGUGUACAAUUCAGUGGCAUUUACUACAUUCACAGUAUUGGGCAACCGUCACCAUUAUCUGGCUCCAGAACAUUUCAGCACCCCAAAAGGGAAAUUCUGUACCCAUCAGCAGUCAGUCCCAAUGCCUCCCAACUCCUGGCAACCACUAAUCUACUUUCCAUCUCUAUGCGUUUGUCUGUUCUGGACAUUUUGUAUAAAUGGAGUCAUAUAUUAUGUGGCCUUUUGUGUCUGGCUUCUUUCACUUGGCAUCACCUUUUCACGAUUCAUCCGUGUUACAGUAUGUGCAGGACUUCCUCCUCUUUGAUGACUGAAUAAUAUCCCAUCGCGUGGAUAUACCACGUCUCCAUGUCUGUUCUUGAAGGAACAGGAGUAGAGAAGAUUCUCCAUGGCAGGUGUAUGCUGGGGGCUGGGCAAACACAGCCAGGAGCACAAAUGACACUGGGCUUCUGGGCAGUGGGGAGCGGCUGCAGCCCCCUGGAAAAGCCUUUUAACCCUGCCUUGUCCCCAUCAUUCAGAUGGCUUAUCCAAACGUCCCAGGGGAAACAGGAGGUCUCCUGGUCCAGCAAGGGAGGCUGUGGAUGGGUGAGCCCCUGGACACCGUCUCCAGCAUCCCUUCUGUGCCCACUUGGGCUUCCCCAGCCCAGCAGGGGGCGCUGGGGCAAGUCUGGUUCCAAGAAAUGGUCUCCUACUUGGGAUACUGGUGAAUUUCCACCUUUCAGUGUUUUUUUCCUCAGCUUACUUCCCAGGUAUUCGAGUGAUGGGAACUUUGCGUUUGGGGAGUGCUAGACCGUUCCCGGUUCUGGUCUGCAGCCAGUGGGAGUGUGUGAAAGACAAAUUCCCCAUCUCAGUGGGGUCAGAAUGGGUCUGACAAGCCUUCCAGCUGAUGCUUGUGCAUCCCAGGCUCAGGAUGCUCCACAAGACCCUCCUCAAGUUCAUGCCCAGAGCGGGAGCGUGUCCUUUCUGCAGACAGUAGAGGGCUGCCUCCCAAAUGAUCGUUGCUAGGCUGAGCGCUCCUGUCUCUUCUUUGUGAAUCCAUUCAGGAGAACCAACCUGAGUGGUGGCUUAUUCUGUGGGCCACACCCGUAACAUUUCGUUCAUUCAUUCAUUCAUUCAUUCAACGAAACUUUGUCCUAUGCCGGGCACCAUGCUGGC
rnacentral:lncRNA from 1 species